rnacentral:tRNA from 1 species
GCCAUCUUAGCUCAGUUGGUAGAGCAUACCCUUCGUAAGGGUAGGGUCCGGAGUUCGAUCCUCCGAGAUGGCU